rnacentral:rRNA from 1 species
AUUGAACGCUGGCGGCAGGCCUAACACAUGCAAGUCGAACGAGUGGCGGACGGGUGAGUAAUGUCUGGGAAACUGCCCGCUGGAGGGGGAUAACUACUGGAAACGGUUGCUAAUACCGCAUACCAUCGGAUGUGCCCAGAUGGGAUUAGCUAGUAGGUGGGGUAAAGGCUCACCUAGGCGACGAUCCCUAGCUGGUCUGAGAGGAUUACCAGUCACAAUGGAACUGGUAAACGGUCCAGACGCCUACGGGAGGCAGCAGUGGGGAAUAUUGCAAAAUGGGCGCAAGCCUGAUGCAGCCAUGCCGGGUGUAUGAAGAAGGCCUUCGGGUUGUAAAGUACUUGCAGCUAGGGGGCGUUACUCGCAGAAGAAGCAACGGCUAACUACGUGCCAGCAGCCGCGGUAAUAC